GAGGCGGGCUGGGUGCGCGGGCGCGGAGGUGAGCGUGAGGGGCCCAGGCUGGGCAGGCGUGCGCGGAGUGGAGAAGCUGAGCGCGUCGUGCCAGGGUCCCCGGGCGGCGGGCAGCGGUUAACGACGGGGACCCCGGGGACUCCACGGUCUCAUCCACGCCCUCGGUGCUGGGCGACGGAGGCCGCCUUGCCCCAUUCUGGGGAGGAAACUGAGGCACAGGGGUCUCUUCCCUGUGCAGAGUGGACACGGCGGCAGGGGACGGGUGCUGGCACUGCGGUGCCCCUGGCCACCCCUGCGCUCCUGAACUCUGGGUGGGGAGGGCCACGGGCACUGCCCAAGAGCUCCCAAGGGUGAGUUCCCUAGUCCCUGCCUCCCCGUGAUCACAGGGUGUCACGUGUGUCUGGAUGAGGGCAGGUGCAGCUGGGACACUGGUAUAAAAAAAUAUAUAGUCUUUGUCCCCAGGUCCUGGCACAUUUUCUCUCGGAGAGAAAGGACUCCCCUAAUUAAAUCCUUGCCCGUUUGGUUUUUUUGGUGUCUUGCUCCUCGGAGGAGCUGGGCCAACAGUGUUCAUUAUAAAAUAUUUAGAACAUACAGAGAAGCAAAAUGCAGGUAGUAACAGACUUAGCUCCGGAGGAGCCAGAGAGAGGGGCUGCUCCACACCUAACUGCAGGGGCAGGGAGGGCCUUCCACCUGCCGGGGCCCGGGGGCUGUCCCGGGAGUGUGGCCCAAGACUUCUUACCAGGCUGUAGCCACACCCCGGGCAGCAGAAGAGGGGCGGAGAGAAAGUGGUGGGUCUCCCCGAGGGCCCUUCCACUUCCAGCUCAUUUGCCAAAACGGAGUGAUUCGGCCACAGUCUCUGCAGAAGCAGGGCUCCCUCUCUGCUCUGCGUGUUGUGACUUGUUUGUUCCACUUGUCAGCCUCCCACGUAGGUCUUCACAUGUCUUUAAAUCAUU